ensembl:lincRNA D830026I12Rik RIKEN cDNA D830026I12 gene
AUUUUAGGAACGCCCCUUCUUUCCUCUUCUCCCUAACAAGGUGGAGAUGGUUUUGCUCAGACAAACUUUAUUACCAGCACCAAUGAGGGGAACCGAGAAUUCUGAGCCACUGUAGCUGACAUCACAGAACUCCAGCUGCUCUGUGGACUGUAUCCUUUUCUACCUCUGUCCUUAAAAGCUAUUGGAGCCCUUAUUAAAAAAAAAAAAAAACUGCUGCUGUGUACUUAGAGAGCAACUCUUAUUUCGAGUGAUUCUUUUACCUGAUAAGGCAUUUGGAUAUUUAUUCCUCUAACUCGACUCCAAUCCCCCUAUCUUUUUCGUGUUUUCCCAGGUAAAGAGGAAAAAUCUCCAAUCCACUCCCAUCUGUUUGCCUCAUCCAGCAGAGCUUCCAGGCCACAGAAGGCUCAAGACUACAAUAUAAUUCCUGAGACUGCCAAGACCUUGGGUGCUGAUGGCUUCUCGUGGAUGAGGAGAAAACAACAGGACCACUGGAUUAGGGCUUGUUACAGCCCAACUCUCCCGCUUCUUGCUUCUUGCUUCUUGCUUCUUGCUUCUUGCUUCUUGCUUCUUGCUUCUUACUAAAUAAUGGAUCAAUGACUGCCCGGCAGAAUUAGCCUUUCAAUUGACUUUUGUCUUUCGCCCAUCAUUUUCAAAGCUCAUCUCCCAUGGGGAAGACUGAAAGAAGGAGU